rnacentral:rRNA from 1 species
UACGAAAGGGGCUAGCGUUGUUCGGAUUUACUGGGCGUAAAGCGCACGUAGGCGGUCUUGUAAGAUGGGGGUGAAAUCCCCGGGCUCAACCCGGGAACUGCCUUCAUGACUGCAAAGCUAGAGGAUGCGAGAGGUUGGCGGAAUUCCGAGUGUAGAGGUGAAAUUCGUAGAUAUUAGGAAGAACACCAGUGGCGAAGGCGGCCAACUGGCGCAUUUCUGACGCUGAUGUGCGAAAGCGUAGGGAGCAAACAGG